rnacentral:rRNA from 1 species
AUUGAACGCUGGCGGCAGGCCUAACACAUGCAAGUCGAACGGUAACAGGAAGAAGCUUGCUUCUUUGCUGACGAGUGGCGGACGGGUGAGUAAUGUCUGGGAAACUGCCUGAUGGAGGGGGAUAACUACUGGAAACGGUAGCUAGUACCGCAUAACGUCGCAAGACCAAAGAGGGGGACCUUCGGGCCUCUUGCCAUCGGAUGUGCCCAGAUGGGAUUAGCUAGUAGGUGGGGUAACGGCUCACCUAGGCGACGAUCCCUAGCUGGUCUGAGAGGAUGACCAGCCACACUGGAACUGAGACACGGUCCAGACUCCUACGGGAGGCAGCAGUGGGGAAUAUUGCACAGUGGGCGCAAGCCUGAUGCAGCCAUGCCGCGUGUAUGAAGAAGGCCUUCGGGUUGUAAAGUACUUUCAGCGGGGAGGAAGGGAGUAAAGUUAAUACCUUUGCUCAUUGACGUUACCCGCAGAAGAAGCACCGGCUAACUCCGU